ensembl:snRNA U2 U2 spliceosomal RNA
AUUGCUUCUCGGCCUUUUGGCUAAGAUCAAGUGUAGCGUCUGUUCUUAUCCGUUUAAAAAUUACAUGGGCAUGCAUACCGGUGAGUUAUAAUGACCUAGGGAUCUAAA